GAUGAACGUUGGCGGCGUGCCUAAUACAUGCAAGUCGAACGGAGACGGUAGCAAUACGGUCUCAGUGGCGAACGGGUGAGUAACGCGUUGGUGACCUGCCCCGAAGUGUGGAAUAACAGAUCGAAAGAGCUGCUAAUACCGCAUAAUAUCCAGAAGAUUAGAUGCUUUUGGAUUAAAGGAUUUAUUCGCUUCGGGAGGGGCCUGCGUCCCAUCAGCUAGUUGGUAAGGUAAAGGCUUACCAAGGCUAUGACGGGUAGGGGACCUGAGAGGGUGGCCCCCCACAAUGGAACUGAAACACGGUCCAUACACCUACGGGUGGCAGCAGUAGGGAAUAUUAGUAAUGGGCGAAAGCCUGAACUAGCAACGCCGCGUGUGCGAAGAAGGCCUUGGGUUGUAAAGCACUUUUUGAGAGGAUGAGGAAGGACGGUACUCUCAGAAUAAGUCUCGGCUAACUACGUG
rnacentral:rRNA from 1 species